ACUCCUACGGGAGGCAGCAGUAGGGAAUAUUGCUCAAUGGGCGAAAGCCUGAAGCAGCAACGCCGCGUGGAGGAUGACACUUUUCGGAGCGUAAACUCCUUUUCUACAAGAAGAACAAUGACGGUAUUGUAGGAAUAAGCACCGGCUAACUCCGUGCCAGCAGCCGCGGUAAU
rnacentral:rRNA from 1 species